rnacentral:tRNA from 1 species
CAGAAAAUAGUUUAUUAAAAAUAUUAAUUUUGGGAAUUAAUGAAGAGUAGUUUUAUUCUUUUCUGA